UUUAUUGUUCACUUUCGGAUUAGUAGUUUUUGGGCUUCGGCCUUGUAUUUGGGCUUCGCCCUUCUUCAUCAAUAUUAAAAACAUUGACGGAAAAAAAAAAAAAAAAAAAGAGAAACAACACGACCUCAUGUGAAUAUCGGUAUUUUUCUUCUUCAUUUUUUUUUUAAUUUUUAAUUUUUUUUUUCUUCAUUCUUUUCUAAGGCCAAUAAUUUAGAACAAAGUUGGAACUAAAAUUCCACAAAGGAUUUCUUAUUUUUGACAAAGGGAUUACCAAAUGAGCUAUCGAAUCUUUAACAAAGGAUAUUAUUAUUUUACCAAAAAAAAAAAAAACAAAGGAUAUUAUUACAAACUUUAUUUGAUUGUUUUGAGUUCGCAUUAUCUUAUUAUUAUUAUUAUUGAGCUUCCGAGGAUGGACUCGAGUCAAAAUACGGCAUCCCUAAGAAUCUUUACAUGGCCAACUGGCUCAACUCUAUAUCGACCCUAUAGAUGAUUGAUAUCCCC
rnacentral:lncRNA from 1 species